rnacentral:misc_RNA from 1 species
UUUAUGCAUCUGCUGCGCCGCUUCACUCUGACCGGGGCGAUGAUGGCUCUCGCGCUCUGGUCCGGCUACAAACUGUGGGACUACUAUUUCGACGCGCCCUGGACCCGCGACGGUCACGUUCGCGCCGAUGUCGUGCCCAUCGCUCCCGAUGUCUCGGGCUUCGUCACUGACGUCCUUGUCAAGGACAACCAAAAGGUCCGGCGGGGCGAUGUACUCUUCCGGAUAGAUCGGGCGCGCUAUGCCAUUGCGCAGGCCCAGGCGGUAGCCGUGCUGG